GGUUACAGAAUGAUUAUUCCCUUUUCCCCUCAAUUAGUAGGCAAACAAUGUCAAUUUGAUCCCUUUGUAGCUGUUACAAUUAGGUCUUGCUUGCGCUUUUCCAAGUUUACACUGCUCUUAACUGUCUCUUUGUGGCUGCAGCAGAUACUGUAAUAUCUCCCUGCUUAACAGCUAGAACAGCUAUAGUUAUUCAGAGUCCAAAACUGAAAGUGCAACCAACAAAUGACGUUUAUCUCAAAAACAGCAUUAUUUCAACAAAUUUAGCAAACUUUACCAUCCUUCCCCUUCCACUUUUUCUAAUUUCCCUUGACUUGUGUUCACUCCCUCCACUUUUUUCUCUUCUCAUUAUUUCCUUUGAUUUCUUCUUGUGGCUUCUGGAUACCAAAGCUCCAGAUGUGCAGUAUGUUUUUAAGGGCUUGUCACUGAGAGCAACGACCUUUUCCUGAAGCAGCUUUUCAUAGGCACUCAUGGUUACUUCAUGACACAGCGAUGUGCACAUCUAAGUAACAUGAUUUCAGGAACUGGGAAAGAGGAAGGUGCAGUUCAGUAAUGUGGAUGGUACAAUGACCCUGCCUGAUCACAUGUUGGGAAUGGAGAUCAGAGAGAAGCUUCAACACUUGGAUCCUGGUGUCCUGGGCCUGGAACACCAUCACUGCCCAGCUUAUUAAGGGGAGGUCAGCCCUAGAAUUAGCCCUAAAUUGAGUCCUCUGCUACACUACUUCUGAGAAGAUGGUCCUGAAUGAAAGGGGACCCUGAGCACUGACAGCUGUAUUCCAGCAAAGGGUGAAAAGCACCAAGAAGUGACUUCCAGUA